rnacentral:rRNA from 1 species
GGUUAAGCGACUAAGCGUACACGGUGGAUGCCCUGGCAGUCAGAGGCGAUGAAGGACGUGCUAAUCUGCGAAAAGCGUCGGUAAGGUGAUAUGAACCGUUAUAACCGGCGAUGUCCGAAUGGGGAAACCCAGUGCAAUUCGUUGCACUAUCGUUAACUGAAUACAUAGGUUAACGAGGCGAACCGGGGGAACUGAAACAUCUAAGUACCCCGAGGAAAAGAAAUCAACCGAGAUUCCCCCAGUAGCGGCGAGCGAACGGGGAGCAGCCCAGAGUCUGAAUCAGCUUGUGUGUUAGUGGAACGGUCUGGAAAGUCCGACGGUACAGGGUGAUAGUCCCGUACACCAAAAUGCACAGGCUGUGAACUCGAAGAGUAGGGCGGGACACGUGGUAUCCUGUCUGAAUAUGGGGGGACCAUCCUCCAAGGCUAAAUACUCCUGACUGACCGAUAGUGAACCAGUACCGUGAGGGAAAGGCGAAAAGAACCCCGGCGAGGGGAGUGAAAAAGAACCUGAAACCGUGUACGUACAAGCAGUGGGAGCACCUUCGGGUGUGACUGCGUACCUUUUGUAUAAUGGGUCAGCGACUUAUAUUCUGUAGCAAGGUUAACCGUAUAGGGGAGCCGCAGGGAAACCGAGUCUUAACUGGGCGUUAAGUUGCAGGGUAUAGACCCGAAACCCGGUGAUCUAGCCAUGGGCAGGUUGAAGGUUGGGUAACACUAACUGGAGGACCGAACCGACUAAUGUUGAAAAAUUAGCGGAUGACUUGUGGCUGGGGGUGAAAGGCCAAUCAAACCGGGAGAUAGCUGGUUCUCCCCGAAAGCUAUUUAGGUAGCGCCUCGUGAACUCAUCUUCGGGGGUAGAGCACUGUUUCGGCUAGGGGGUCAUCCCGACUUACCAACCCGAUGCAAACUACGAAUACCGAAGAAUGUUAUCACGGGAGACACACGGCGGGUGCUAACGUCCGUCGUGAAGAGGGAAACAACCCAGACCGCCAGCUAAGGUCCCAAAGUCAUGGUUAAGUGGGAAACGAUGUGGGAAGGCACAGACAGCCAGGAUGUUGGCUUAGAAGCAGCCAUCAUUUAAAGAAAGCGUAAUAGCUCACUGGUCGAGUCGGCCUGCGCGGAAGAUGUAACGGGGCUAAACCAUGCACCGAAGCUGCGGCAGCGACACUAUGUGUUGUUGGGUAGGGGAGCGUUCUGUAAGCCUGCGAAGGUGACCUGUGAGGGUUGCUGGAGGUAUCAGAAGUGCGAAUGCUGACAUAAGUAACGAUAAAGCGGGUGAAAAGCCCGCUCGCCGGAAGACCAAGGGUUCCUGUCCAACGUUAAUCGGGGCAGGGUGAGUCGACCCCUAAGGCGAGGCCGAAAGGCGUAGUCGAUGGGAAACAGGUUAAUAUUCCUGUACUUGGUGUUACUGCGAAGGGGGGACGGAGAAGGCUAUGUUAGCCGGGCGACGGUUGUCCCGGUUUAAGCAUGUAGGCUGGUUGUCCAGGCAAAUCCGGAUAAUCAAGGCUGAGGUGUGAUGACGAGGCACUACGGUGCUGAAGUAACAAAUGCCCUGCUUCCAGGAAAAGCCUCUAAGCAUCAGGUAACAUCAAAUCGUACCCCAAACCGACACAGGUGGUCAGGUAGAGAAUACCAAGGCGCUUGAGAGAACUCGGGUGAAGGAACUAGGCAAAAUGGUGCCGUAACUUCGGGAGAAGGCACGCUGGUGUGUAGGUGAAGCCCCUGCGGGUGGAGCUGAGACCAGUCGAAGAUACCAGCUGGCUGCAACUGUUUAUUAAAAACACAGCACUGUGCAAACACGAAAGUGGACGUAUACGGUGUGACGCCUGCCCGGUGCCGGAAGGUUAAUUGAUGGGGUUAUCCGUAAGGAGAAGCUCUUGAUCGAAGCCCCGGUAAACGGCGGCCGUAACUAUAACGGUCCUAAGGUAGCGAAAUUCCUUGUCGGGUAAGUUCCGACCUGCACGAAUGGCGUAAUGAUGGCCAGGCUGUCUCCACCCGAGACUCAGUGAAAUUGAACUCGCUGUGAAGAUGCAGUGUACCCGCGGCAAGACGGAAAGACCCCGUGAACCUUUACUAUAGCUUGACACUGAACAUUGAGCCUUGAUGUGUAGGAUAGGUGGGAGGCUUUGAAGCGUGGACGCCAGUCUGCGUGGAGCCAACCUUGAAAUACCACCCUUUAAUGUUUGAUGUUCUAACGUUGGCCCCUGACCGGGGUUGCGGACAGUGUCUGGUGGGUAGUUUGACUGGGGCGGUCUCCUCCCAAAGCGUAACGGAGGAGCACGAAGGUUAGCUAAUCCUGGUCGGACAUCAGGAGGUUAGUGCAAUGGCAUAAGCUAGCUUGACUGCGAGCGUGACGGCGCGAGCAGGUGCGAAAGCAGGUCAUAGUGAUCCGGUGGUUCUGAAUGGAAGGGCCAUCGCUCAACGGAUAAAAGGUACUCCGGGGAUAACAGGCUGAUACCGCCCAAGAGUUCAUAUCGACGGCGGUGUUUGGCACCUCGAUGUCGGCUCAUCACAUCCUGGGGCUGAAGUAGGUCCCAAGGGUAUGGCUGUUCGCCAUUUAAAGUGGUACGCGAGCUGGGUUUAGAACGUCGUGAGACAGUUCGGUCCCUAUCUGCCGUGGGCGCUGGAGAAUUGAGGGGGGCUGCUCCUAGUACGAGAGGACCGGAGUGGACGCAUCACUGGUGUUCGGGUUGUCAUGCCAAUGGCACUGCCCGGUAGCUAAAUGCGGAAGAGAUAAGUGCUGAAAGCAUCUAAGCACGAAACUUGCCCCGAGAUGAGUUCUCCCUGAGACUUUAAGUCUCCUGAAGGAACGUUGAAGACGACGACGUUGAUAGGCCGGGUGUGUAAGCGCAGCGAUGCGUUGAGCUAACCGGUACUAAUGAACCGUGAGGCUUAACCUU